UACGUAGGAGACGAGCGUUGUCCGGAAUUACUGGGCGUAAAGCGCGUGUAGGCGGAUGGGCAAGUCUGCUGUGAAAGCUCCUGGCUUAACCGGGAGUGGUCGGUGGAAACUGCCAAUCUGGAGGACGGUAGAGGCUGGUGGAAUUCCCGGUGUAGUGGUGAAAUGCGUAGAGAUCGGGAGGAACACCUGUGGCGAAGGCGGCCAGCUGGGCCGGACCUGACGCUGAGACGCGAAGGCGUGGGGAGCAAACAGG
rnacentral:rRNA from 1 species